AACUCGGCUGCAUGAAGCUGGAAUCGCUAGUAAUCGCAGAUCAGAAUGCUGCGGUGAAUACGUUCCCGGGUCUUGUACACACCGCCCGUCACACCAUGGGAGUUGGAAAUGCCCGAGGUCAGUGACCGAACCGAAAGGAAGGAGCUGCCGAAGGUGGAGCCGAUGACUGGGGUGAAGUCGUAACAAGGUACC
rnacentral:rRNA from 1 species